GACGAACGCUGGCGGCGUGCUUAACACAUGCAAGUCGAACGGAAAGGCCCUGCUUUUGUGGGGUGCUCGAGUGGCGAACGGGUGAGUAACACGUGAGUAACCUGCCCUUCACUUUGGGAUAACUUCGGGAAACUGGGUCUAAUACCGGAUAGGAGCUCCUGCUGCAGGGGGGGGGUUGGAUAUUUUCGGCGGGUGGGGAUGGACUCGCGGCUUAUCAGCUUGUUGGUGGGGUAGUGGCUUACCAAGGCUGUGACGGGUAGCCGGCCUGAGAGGGUGACCGGCCACAUUGGGACUGAGAUACGGCCCAGACUCCUACGGGAGGCAGCAGUGGGGAAUAUUGCACAAUGGGCGGAAGCCUGAUGCAGCAACGCCGCGUGCGGGAUGACGGCCUUCGGGUUGUAAACCGCUUUCGCCUGUGACGAAGUGUGAGUGACGGUAAUGGGUAAAGAAGCACCGGCUAACUACGUG
rnacentral:rRNA from 1 species